GACGAACCGAGCGAACGUUGUUCGGAAUCACUGGGCUUAAAGGGCGCGUAGGCGGGCUGCCGCGUCCGGGGUGAAAUCCCACGGCUCAACCGUGGAACGGCCCCGGGUACGGGCGGCCUCGAGGGGGGUAGGGGCGUGCGGAACUGUGGGUGGAGCGGUGAAAUACGUUGAUAUCGGAAGGAACGCCGGUGGCGAAAGCGGCGUACUGGACCUCUUCUGACGCUGAGGCGCGAAAGCUAGGGGAGCAAACGGG
rnacentral:rRNA from 1 species